rnacentral:rRNA from 1 species
UGGGGAAUAUUGCACAAUGGGCGCAAGCCUGAUGCAGCCAUGCCGCGUGUAUGAAGAAGGCCUUCGGGUUGUAAAGUACUUUCAGCGAGGAGGAAGGCGUUGUGGUUAAUAACCGCAGCGAUUGACGUUACUCGCAGAAGAAGCACCGGCUAACUCCGUGCCAGCAGCCGCGGUAAUACGGAGGGUGCAAGCGUUAAUCGGAAUUACUGGGCGUAAAGCGCACGCAGGCGGUCUGUCAAGUCGGAUGUGAAAUCCCCGGGCUCAACCUGGGAACUGCAUCCGAAACUGGCAGGCUAGAGUCUUGUAGAGGGGGGUAGAAUUCCAGGUGUAGCGGUGAAAUGCGUAGAGAUCUGGAGGAAUACCGGUGGCGAAGGCGGCCCCCUGGACAAAAACUGACGCUCAGGUGCGAAAGCGUGGGGAGCAAACA